rnacentral:rRNA from 1 species
UACAGAGGUCUCAAGCGUUGUUCUGGAUUCAUUGGGCGUAAAGGGUGUGUAGGUGGCGCGCUAAGUCGGGUGUGAAAUUUCGGAGCUUAACUUCCGAAACUGCAUUCGAUACUGGCGUGCUUGAGGACUGGAGAGGAGACUCGGAAUUCAUGGUGUAGCAGUGAAAUGCGUAGAGAUUCAUGAGGAAGACCAGUGGCGAAGGCGGGUCUCUGGACAGUUCCUGCACUGAGACACGAAGGCCAGGGGAGCAAACGGG